CAUUUAUAUCUCUUAUUUUGAGAACUAGCUGUGCAUUUGCUCAUUUAUUGAAAAGGUUUUUGUUUUUCUGGUAUUAAGAUAUUUGCAUUAAUAUUUUUAGGAUAUUAAUCCUCUGUCAGAAGAGUAGCUGGCAAAGCUUUUCUCCAUUUCUGGAGGCUACCACUUCUUACUGUUUUGUGUUUCACUUACUAUGCAGGAAUUUUUCAGUUUGAUGCACCCUCUCUUAUCCAUUGUUGCUCUUAUUUUCUGAGCUGUAGGGGGCUCUAUUUAGGAAGUUAUUGCCUACAUACUGAAGUGUUUUCCAUAUAUUUUCUUGUAGCAUUUGUAAACCUUCUAGUCUGGUACAUAUGUCUUUAGUUCUUUCUGAAUAAACUCUUGUACAGUGUUAGAAAAUAGGCAUCUAGGUUUCUUCUUUUACAUAUGGAUAUCUAGUUUUUCCAACACUAUUUCUAAAAUGUCAUAUUUUCUCCAAAAUAUGUUUUUGGUGUCUUUGCCUAGUAUCACAUGACUGUACCUGUGUGGGUUUGCUCUCUCACUUCUCUUCUAUCCAUUGGUCUAUGGGUCUUUCUUUACACCAGGACCAUGGUUUUAUUACUAUGGCUCUGUUUUAUAUUUUGAAAUUGGCAUUGUGGUUUAUCCAUUGUGUAUCUUAUGAUCAGUAUCACUUUGUCUAAGUAUUGUUUGUUUGUUUGUUUUUCUUCCAUACAAAUUUAUAAGUAGUUAUUUUCCCCCCAUUACUGAGAACAAUACCAUUUGAAUUUGAAUGGGAAUACAUGGAAUCUAUAAUUCAUUUAUGGUACUAUGCCCAUUUUCACAAUAUUAAUUCUACUUCUCUAUGAACAUAACAGAUCUUUUAACUUCCUAUUGUUUUCUUAUUUUCCUUUUUCAUCAAUGUGUAAUUUUUCUUGAAGAGGUCAUUCACUUUCUUGUUUAGGGUUAUUCCUAGCUAUUUUUAAAGUUAUUUGAAUGAGCUAUUACUCUUGCUUUAUUCUCUCUAGGUUUGCUAUGGUAUAUAGACAAACAGUUUAUUUUUAUAUGUUUAUUUUGUAUCCUGUUACUCUGAUGAAUUCAUUCAUCAAAGUAGAAUUUUCAUAAUAUAUUAUUUAUGUUCUUCUGAGAAUAGGACUACAUCAUUUGCAUAUAGAAAUAAUUUAACAUUUUAACUUUCCUAUUUGAAUCCCUUUUAUUUCUUUCUCUUUUUCUAAAAUUUUAAGUACUGUGAUUAGUGAGAUUGGUGGCAAUGAACAUCUUUGUGUGUUUCUUGAUUUUAGAGAAAAUGUUCUUCAUUUUACUAUUGGCUUUGGAUUUGAUAUACUUGGUCUUUAUUAUCUUGUAAUAAAAUGCUCCUAUUUCUAAUCUCUCAGGGCUUUGUCAUGAGGGCCAUUGAAUUUGUCAAAGGAUUUUCCUGCAGCUUCUUAAAAGAUCAUGUAUUUUGCUCUUGAUUCUAUAUGUGGUGUAUCAGUUUUAUUGAUUUGCAUGUAUUGAAUCAUCCUGGAGCAAAAUCAGCUUUUAUCGAUUUUUUUUUUUUUUUUUUUUUUUUUUUUUUGUAUGUGACUAGAGUCUCAAACCAGGAGCAUGGUACAAAGGAGCCACAUUCCCAGCACCUUUUAUUGUUCACUUUGAUAACAGAUCUCACUAAAUUUCCCAGGCUGGCUUUGAAAUUACAGUGUUCCUCAAACAACCUGAUGCUUUUCUGAGAGUAUACACCUAUACCACUAUGCCUGAUACGUAUAUUAUUUUGUAAUGUGUUGUUGAAUGUGGUUUGCAAAGAUUUUAUGAGAAUUUUUAUACUAUGUUCCUCAAGGAUAUUGAUAUCUAGGUUUUUCCUUGUUCUGUCCAAUAUUCACUUUUCCAGUCAGGGUAAUACUUUGCAGAAUUGCUUUGGAAGCAUCUUUCCUUUGCUUUUAAAUGUAAUGGGGGAUUAAUAUCAGUUCUUCUUUAAAUAUCUGAUAAAAUUUAGCCAUGUAUUCACCUCUGAACCUCUGGUCCAUAAGGCUUUUUAUUAUUGCUUCAACCUUCUUACUUGUUAUUGACUAUGUUUUUCUCUAUCUAUUUGAUUCAACAUUUUAUGACAUAUUUCAUUAAUAUCACUUAGAUUUAUUUAUCUUUCAAUUUUAUUCUUUAAAAUAGUCUAAAUUUUUCCCAUUCAUUGAAAUAUAAGUUUUCUAAUAGUCUCUAGAGAUCUUCUGUAUUUCAGUGGUAUCUGUUUUAAUAUUUCACUUUUUGUUUCUAGGUUUAUUCAUCUGUAACUUCUUUUUUCUUUUAGUUCCCUUGGCCAAGGGUUUAUCAAUUUUAUUUACCAUUUUAACAGUGAACUAUUUGUUUCAUUAUUACUAUGUCUUCUAAAAAAAUUAUCUAUUUUAUAAUUUUGGCUCUGACUUUAGUUAAUUAUUUUCUUGUAUUGGUUUUAGAAUUCAUUUACUGAAGUUUUUCUUAGAACUUGGGAUGCAUCAUGAGGUUUUUAAAUUGAAAUAUCUUAGAUUUUUAAAUGGAGGUAGCCCUUAGUAUAAACUGCCCUCAUACAACUGAUUUUGGUGGAUUAGUGGAGGGAUGUCUGAAGGGCUAGAAAAUGUACUGGGCAGUAAAAUUUGUCUAAAUAUGUUAUAUGCAUUUCUGUAUAAGUUAUAAUGAACCCACUAUCAUAUAUAUGUAUAUAUUAUAUCAAUAAAA
rnacentral:lncRNA from 1 species